CCAAAUUCAACAAAAUGCUGCCCUCACGUGUGGCAUUAACGCUUAACAAGAAUGCAGCGUUAAGGUGCAGCAAAAUUACGUCGUUUAAGUUAUUUUAACAAAUCAAGUGGGCGGUAUAUUAAGCCCCUCAUGCAGGGUUGACGUAACGCGCCUUCUUACCGGUUCCUUAUUCAUAGAACAUCGUGUGGCGACUACAUGACAUUGAAUCGCGU
rnacentral:lncRNA from 1 species